rnacentral:lncRNA from 1 species
CAAUCGCUAACCAUCUCUGAAUACUAUAUCUCCAUGUGAUAUAGGGACUAGAUCUUCUUCUUCUUUUCCUGUGCAGUGACUAGGUAUUCGAUUGGUAAGUGAGUUGACAUUGAAGUAGUGACUUUCCAUUGUUUGAAAGGCAUUUAUUUCAUGAUCUUUUAAUCUAUGACAUAGACUUUGUUAGACUUGGAUUACUAUUGACUUGUAUAUGAU